rnacentral:rRNA from 1 species
GUGGGGAAUAUUGGACAAUGGGCGAAAGCCUGAUCCAGCCAUGCCGCGUGUGUGAAGAAGGUCUUCGGAUUGUAAAGCACUUUAAGUUGGGAGGAAGGGCAGUAAGUUAAUACCUUGCUGUUUUGACGUUACCAACAGAAUAAGCACCGGCUAACUUCGUGCCAGCAGCCGCGGUAAUACGAAGGGUGCAAGCGUUAAUCGGAAUUACUGGGCGUAAAGCGCGCGUAGGUGGUUCAGCAAGUUGAAGGUGAAAUCCCCGGGCUCAACCUGGGAACUGGCUCCAAAACUACUGAGCUAGAGUACGGUAGAGGGUAGUGGAAUUUCCUGUGUAGCGGUGAAAUGCGUAGAUAUAGGAAGGAACACCAGUGGCGAAGGCGACUACCUGGACUGAUACUGACACUGAGGUGCGAAAGCGUGGGGAGCAAACAGGAUUAGAUACCCUUGUAGUCC